AGUCGAACGAGGGUCCUUCGGGACUCGAGUGGCGAACGGGUGAGUAACACGUAGGGAACCUGCCCGUGCGACCGGGAGAACUUUCGGAAACGGAAGCUGAUACCGGAUAGGGACAGAGACGGCAUCGACUCUGUGUUAAAGGAGCUGCAAGGCUCCGCGCACGGAUGGACCUGCGGUGCAUUAGCUGGUUGGUGAGGUAACGGCUCACCAAGGCGACGAUGCAUAGCCGGCCUGAGAGGGCGGACGGCCACACUGGGACUGAGACACGGCCCAGACUCCUACGGGAGGCAGCAGUAGGGAAUUUUCGUCAAUGGGCGCAAGCCUGAACGAGCAAUGCCGCGUGAACGAGGAAGGUCUUCGGAUCGUAAAGUUCUGUUGAAGGGGAAAAAGAGCGGAGAGAGGAAAUGGUCUCCGAUUGAUAUUACCCUUCGAGGAAGUCACGGCUAACUACGUGCCAGCAGCCGCGGUAAUACGUAGGUGGCGAGCGUUAUCCGGAAUGAUUGGGCGUAAAGGGUGCGUAGGCGGCCUGCUAAGUCUGGAGUGAAAGGUACCGGCUCAACCGGUACAGGCUCUGGAAACUGGCGGGCUAGAGAGCAGGAGAGGGCGGUGGAACUCCAUGUGUAGCGGUAAAAUGCGUAGAUAUAUGGAAGAACACCAGUGGCGAAGGCGGCCGCCUGGCCUGUUACUGACGCUGAGGCACGAAAGCGUGGGGAGCAAAUAGGAUUAGAUACCCUAGUAGUCCACGCCGUAAACGAUGAGGACCAAGUGUUNGGGAAGACCCAGUGCUGCAGUUAACGNAGUGAGUCCUCCGCCUGGGGAGUAUGCACGCAAGUGUGAAACUCAA
rnacentral:rRNA from 1 species